CCGAGUUGGGGUCCUUUGGGCUCGACCUCCUACCCUCUGUCUACCUUACCUUUUGUUGCUUCGGCGGAUCCGUUCAUUAGGGGACCGCCGGAGGGUGUCAAACCCCUCUGGCCCGCGUCCGCCGGUGGCCCACAACCAAAACUCUUGUUUAAAUCUGUCGUCUAAGUACCAAAAAAACAAGUAA
rnacentral:misc_RNA from 1 species